UGUUUAAAAUUAAUCCUAUAAAUUCUGAGAACUAGGCUUUUAAUAGAAUUCCUAUGCAGGUGUCAAGAUACACUCUGAAUUUACAAAUCUUAACUUGUGUAUUAAGAUCCUCUGUAAUCAACACAACAUUUGAUAUGUAACAUUUACACAGUUAACAUGAAGCAUGAAUUUAAUAUGCACCCUGAAAGGGUUGCUGGCCCAGAAUGGACAUUGUAGCUAAAAAAGCCUCAGCCGGAUUUAGGGAGUUCCUGCCUCCCCCGGCCCUAGAGAUUUACCUGUAACCCUAUACCCCCACCCUUAGAAACCUACCUCUGGUGCCAAACUAAGACCAAUGGGCUACCUGUACAUCCCUAAUACCCCCUAGGUUCCACCCCAGGCCGAGGCUACUUAUGUGCCUCACUCCAUGUGUUCCAGGGAGAGAUCACCGGCCCCGGGGUGGAGAUUCCAUGCCCCAGGGGGUCAGGGAUGUCUCUCUCCGCAUUCCCAAAAUAAGGGUUACUUAUAUUUUAUACUUCUUAUCUUUUCAGCCACCACUGCCGGCCAGUCCUUCCCCCUCUUCCCCUUGACAGACCUAUCAGAUGUGUUCCAUGCCAGCCCGCCCCCUCCACGGCGCCGGGCACAAGCUGCUGUUCCUCCGUGGCGCUGGACGUGCACCGGGCGUGCACCGCUGCUGCCAAACCCCACCCCCUUGCACGGUAGCAGCUGAAAUACGUUAUUUCCCUGCGCCGUCUUAGCGCGUCAUAGUAGCGUCUAGGUGGGAUCUCUGCCCACCCCUGUGCACUAUGUCCCAGCGUUCGCCCCUCCCACUCUGCAUGUUCCAUGUCAGCCCGCCCCUGCCUGCUGUGUGGUGGUGCUCAUCUCGCCCCAAGCACAACUCUGCUCUCUUCCUACAGGUGCUAUCUAUCUCAGUGUUUCAAGCUGCCUUAAACACUGUGCGUUUCCAAAGUCUCGCGGCCCCGCUCAAACAUUUUUUUUACAAUUUAGUUCCACUCAAGAGAGGCUAUUUUUUUCUUAUAAUUUUCCUACCAUUUAUUCAAUAUUACUGGCCACCUGAUAAUUUUACCAGCCUGCCUGCCUUAUAAUCUUAAAUGCCAAUAUUAAGCUCCUAUAUACUUAUUUAAUUCUACAGAUAACUUUUACUAUAGUCCAGAUAUCAAACAACAAGGCAAAACUUGACCUUCAAGCUCCACAGAGACCUUGAUAUGGUUGUUCAUAUUUUAAAUAACACUUACAGUUCUGAGACAGACAAAUCUACACAAGGUGAAGCUACCUGCCCCCCGCCAUGGGCCACACUCAAAUUCAUCAUAAGACAUCAGACAAAAUCCCCCAUCCUGGCAUUCUUCAAGAUCUUACUCCAGGGCUGUUGGGCUAUCCUGGCCACCAGAGAGUGGCCGGGCCAUCCUAACUUGUAGCCCUCACAGGUCACUGCCAAAAACCUCACUCCAGAACCGUUGGGCUAUCCUGGCCACCAGAGAGUGGCUAGGCCGCCCUAACUUGUAGCCCUCACAGGUCACAGGGGCCAACCGCCUUAGUGGAUAUCUGUCUCAGAAUCCAAGUCACAUUAAAACUCUCAAGGUAAGACAUUCUCUAUAUUCGUGGACAUACGAGGCCACAUAUACAGAGUUCUUACUGAGUUUUUAGGCUAAUAAAUCCACAAUGUCUCAUGGAGUAUUAAAGGUCAACCUAUGCCAGUUACAAACAGGGCCUAUUUUUGUACAGGUCCCAGUCCUAAAUCUUAAAAUGCUUUUAUUCCCUUUUAAAAUGCCAUCCUGGUUUCACAUCACUCAGGCCCUAGAUCUCACCAUCUUUUUGGUACUCAUCUCUGCCUUACGACUCACAGGUUGUCAUGUUUUGUUAUCCACUUUGGUUCUUAAUUUCUUACAUUCUAUUAAUAAUCAUUUCUAUAGCAGGACUCUCUAACAGGAUUGCCUACAGACUCCAACGUCAUAUAUACCAGAGACAAGCGUUACCUACCUACCUUUUAACUUUUAUGCUUUCAUAUGGGGGAGUAAGCACCUCUCAUAACUUCACUCCUCCUAAUCCCACGUUUAAUUUUUCAGAAUUCUGCCUUGCCAUAAAAAUGUUCCCACCUCAACGUCAUCCUGAUAGAAUAACAGGUCUAAAUCAAAGACACCUUUCCCUCUACCUCACUUGGGUCCAUAACUAUGACAGUGCCAUGUCUCCUCAUAACAUCUUGUCUCUUUGUUUUUUUCAGUCUAACAUACACGCAUUCACCAGUGAAGUUGUCCUGGCUAAAACUCCUGGCACCAGCUUCUACCUAGACAUCAACCGUCAUCCCGUCAAUUUCCCUGGACCCCAGUACGGUGCCCUCAGCCAGCAGGAAGUAGUUAAAGAGAGAAAUCUUCACCCCUUUUCCUAAUAAUCAUAAGAUGGGAUAUGAAUGGGUUGCUGGCCCAGAAUGGACAUUGUAGCCAAAAAAGCCUCAGCCAGAAUUAGGGAGCUCCUGCCUGCCCCGCCCCUAGAGAUUUACCUGUAACCCUAUACCCCCACCCUUAGAAACCUACCUCUGGUGCCAAACUAAGACCAAUGGGCUACCUGUACAUCCCUAAUGCCCCCCUUAGGUUUCACCCCAGGCUGAGGUUACUUAUGUGCCUCACUCCAUGUGUUCCAGGGAGAGAUCGCUGGCCCAGGGGUGGAGAUGCCACGCCCCGGGGGGUCGGGGGUGUCUCUCCCCGCAUUCCCAAAAUAAAGGUUACUUAUAUUUUAUACUUCUUAUCUUUUCAGCCACCACCACUGGCCAGUCCUUCCCCCUCUUCCCCUUGACAGACCUAUCACACCCAAGAUGCUGUUUAAUAAAUCAUACAGGACACAUCACAGGAUGUACAUACCUUUGCUUGUACACCUGCUUCCCUAAUGGAUCAAUAGACAGGGUCUGGCUAUGUAGUGCAGGCUGGGCUUGAACUAGCUGAUGUAGCCUGGGCUGCCCUUAAACCCACAGUGGUCUUCCUGGAGUGCUGGGAUUUCAGAAUUUUGAGAUGAGAUUUUCACCCGGGAGGAGAGAGAAGUGGUCUGAGGAGAAACGAAGGUCGUCUUGGAAAGCAAAAAGCAGAACUCAAUCUGUGCCGGGAAGACCCAAGGGUCAGCGGUGGAAGCCAGAAAGUCCAUGCCAGCAGGGUGAAGGAGUUGUGCUGCUGGGAUGAGGGUUCUUGGCUGGAGACGAGAAGUCACACUCACAACAAAGACCAGGGCUAUGCUGAAAGGCACCACAGCCAUCCUCAGCGACACAAAAGCCCCGAGCUCCUCCGAACGACAAGCACAGUCGGGUAUAUGCCAGGAAGCAGCGUGACAAGUUCAUCCUGGAGACCAAGCAGCACAGGUCUUCCCCUCUGGAGCCAGGAAGCAAUGUUCGAUGUGAGGACUAGAGCAUCUCCAGGAGAACCAAUGGUUCAAACAGCAACUCGUGGGAGAACCCACAAUGCCUCAAUCCAACAACGCAUUAAAGCUUCAGUACCCUCAACACCUCCCUUCUCCACCUAUUUAUCCUGGCAACUUUCCUCAGGUGGAGCAUCUGGUGUAAUCCAGCUGGCGUUAAGUUGACCCCUAGUUCUUAAUCCAUACAACUAUGGUACAGAACUAAAGUUCUACAUGUGAUACUUUUUCUUUUCUAAAUCUGUAAAAGUCUACAAGAGUCUUAAUUCACUUUGGGGGUAUUGGUCUACAUACCAUGCACAAUUUUUAUUCUAUCCACUGCCUGAAACUCUGAAAGCUUUUACAUCUUUCUGGUCUGUCUAAAUCCCAAGUAAGUGAUGACUUCAAAUAUAAAUAUUGGCAGCAGUUGGAAAUGUAUAAUAUAUCCAAGUCUCUUGAGUCCCUUUGAAAGGACUUGUAAGAUUUACUUGAUACAUAGAGCUGGUUUUUAUUCACCUCUGGUAAUCAGCUAGUGGCCAGCUUACUGGAGCUGUGAAAAUGGAGAUACUUUAUUAAGAGUGGAUAUGACAGUAAAGAUUGGGAAUUUUAAAAGGAAAGAGGGUGGCAUUUUGUAUUUCAGGUGUUUUGAUUUUUGUCACAUUUGGUUUCCUCUGAGCUGAUCCCUUUCAUGCUGUGAAAGGUUGACUUCAAAACGGCAACUAAUUAAAGGUAGAAAAUUUAGUGUCUUUUGAACAUGAGUACUUCUUUAGAGAUCAGAGAGGUAGAUGUCCUAGAUUUAUUUUAAAGUGAUUUACUUUUAACUCUUAGGCCAAAUUGAGCAUCAUAGUGAGUUAUUACUAAACAGGAUUCAUGAAUAUUUUUCUAUAAAGGUAUAUCUUAAUUUUCUUUCUGGACAUAACAAUAGAAUCAGUGUAUGUUUCUCUUCUCUCAGAGUACAUUUUCCAGAGAUGGGAAUAUGAUCUGAAUAUUAACUCAGAACACUGAAAAGUCUUUCAAAGAGUACUGUAUUAAAACGUAGAUUAAAAUCUUAGAUACCAGAUCGUAACACCAAGAUUGUAACAUAUUUAAAAGCAUUUAAUUUUAAAGUAUUCCUCCAAAUUAUGUCAGGCUUUAAUCUUUUUUGACAUUCUAUCUUGGCUGUCAUUACAUAUAACCAAUGCAUAGCAGAGUUUCUGACUUAGUGAAAAGGUUUACGAGUGGGGAAAGGUCUAAAUAUCCACAUAUGAAACAAUCUCCCUAAAACAGCUGUUGAAGUGACAUUUAUAGAAGGUAUAUGCUUCUGUCCAUUGCUAACAAUUCUUGAAACUAGCAGUUCAACAUUUAUGUACCUUUGGAUUAACAAAGAAUUGUAUAUGGAGGGAUUUAAGGCAACCAUGCCUUGGGCCAAGAAAAGUGUUUGUUAAUAGCAAUAAAGAAUUUGUUCUGUUAAUAUUAAUGAAGAUCAGCAUCCAAAGAAUAAUUCUGAUAGAAAUUAAGCUGUUAGGUACAAGUCAUAAAAGGUAGAUAAGAGAAAUACUGGCAUUUAAAAUACCAGUUAUGUUGCAGGUACAGUACAGAUUACAGGCUUUUCAUAUUUUAUUUCAUUAGUACAAGCUUUUGUUACCGUAUACAUUGCAGUAAAGUACAAAGUUCAGAUUGAGAGGAAUUAAAUUGCUGAAUUUCUCUUAGGUUGUAAGUAGUUGAGUUAAAAGUUGAAUCUUGGUAAAAUAUAUAAGAAAUACUAAGCUCUAUUCACCCCACCUUUCUGCUUCCUCAAAGGGAUUAUUUUUGACAAGUUUGAAAAUAUAUCAAAAUGAAUAGUCUGCUUAUUGGUUGUUGCUGUUUCUUCGGCAUGAAUCAUAAUCUGCAUAGUCAUUGCAUAUACAUUUGCAAGAAAUAGUUUGGCAGCAGUCUUACUAUGAGGGGUAGUGUAGUAGCAGAAAGAUUCUGGUUCUUUUUAGAAAUACCUGGAAAAUGUGCUCUUGAGUAACUUAUUUUCUGAACCUCAUUUUGCAAUGUUGUAAUAUGGUGAUGUUAGUAGUAGAAACCUGUUAAUAUUAUAGAAUGAAUUAGAAGUAAUGUGUGUUUAUAGAAUGAAUUAUAGAAUUGGGCUCAGAAUAGUGCAUUGGCAUAUAGUAGAAGCUCAAAAUGGGAGCAGGUGUUACUUAUGACAUGCAUAGUUCAUGUGUUAGACACUGCUAUGCUCUUGUGAACAGUGAUUAUUGAGCUUCUGACAGUUCAUGUUGACUUCUGUCAUCAUGCUGCAAAUAUUCUUAGAUAAGGAUACCAAUUAGAAGUAGUAAAUACCAAUUGAAAUAUACUUUACCUGUAUAGCAAAAUCAGCCAAAAUUCAAAAUUUAGUUGUCUGUAUAUGUAUAUAUAUUCUGUAAGCUUUCAGAGAGCUUUAUAAUCUAGCUUAAUUCUCACUUUUACAGAGUUCAAUUUCAUUACAACUGACCAUUUCAGAUAUUUACAAAAUUGAUAUUGAUAUAAAAAUAUGUAUCUAGUAGCCAAAUUUAUCUGAUCAACCUAAAUCAUCAAGACUGGUACAUUUACUUAUUUUUGUUUUUUAAUUUUAUUUAAAAUAUAUUUUUGAAAUAUUGUAAGAAAAAUUUCAGCUAAUAUUUCUCCCAUGUCUUUGGAAAUACAUCAAAAUAGGGCAUUUUAUUACACAACAUUAUAUCUAACACAUUUAACAAAACCACAAAUAGUUCCUUGGUAUUGUCUAAUAUGCAGUCCAUAAUAAAAAAAAUAACUAGAGAAUUGUUGCCUUAACAUAGCUUACUAAUAUCACAACAGUUCCACAACCACACUUAGUUAAGUCCCUUACCAUUUUUACGUUUGAAUCUAGAGCAGACUCCUGUGGCCCCUUCUUUUCAUGUCUUUGCUUUGCACAGAAACUGGGUCACAUUCUGCAGAAUGUACCACAUUUUGGAUUUGUCUCUGCUUUCUUCUGACAUUUAACUCAUUUACUCUUUUUUUAACAAAUAGACAUUAGCUCUAGAGUAGAGGCUUGAUUAUAUUUAGUUUCUCUUUCUUUGCUAAGAGUAUUCAAAGAUGAUACUAGGUAUUUUCUAAAGAGGCCAUGCUAUCCGGUUGUCCUAGUUUUCGUAUUUCUGCAGUUGAGUUGUCAUCCUCCCAUUAAUGGUAAUUGAUAAUGUUUCAUUAGGGAAUACAAAGAGGUGCACUUGUAAUUCUAUCGUUCUUUAAAAAUACUGCUUCAUAGAGGUGUAUUCCAAAGUGUUCACCUGGAUGGGCUUUGGAAACCAUCACCAAAAUCGAGUUUGUCCAUUUCCCUAUGUUCCUCACUAGGCUUCUAUGCCUUCAACCCAGGAAAUAGGGGUUUGCUUUCUGUCAGUUUGUACCUUUUCUGUUAUCAUUUCCUCUAAUACUCAUCCUCAUAAGGUGAAACAGCAGUUCUAUAUAA